rnacentral:lncRNA from 1 species
ACGCCGUUGUUUUCUUGGGGUUUGAGAAGAUUGUUAUCUGAAAUUUUAGUGUGGUUAAGGCUUGUUUUGCAUGGUUAAACUUAUUUGUAACUGUGUAUGUAACAAAUUAACUUAAUAUGUACAAGUUUGGCUGUUUUACAAUCACAAAAUCCUUAUAGCCCUAUAUCGUACACAAAUCAUAAACCCUAAACCCUAAAAUCUAAACCCUAAACCAAGCCUAAACCCUAAAUCAAUACCAUAAGCCUUAAACCCAAUAGCAACAGCUUAGACCCUAAACAAUUGAUUAUAACCUCUUACCACUAUAAUACAAAACAUUAAUUCAUACAGAGAAAUCAUAAAGCCUAAUCCCUAAAACAAUACAAUAAACCCUCCAAAAAUACCCUAAACCCUAAAUCAAUACCAUAUAACCCA